GGCAAAUCAUGUCAGAUAGACAUGGUUCCUCCACAACAUUACUGUCUUUGGGAAAGAUGAGGUAAAAAUUCAGCCAGAUUCUCCUCUCACAUAAACUCCAGACCACGUGGAUGUCACAGCCAGGGGCUGCCUCAAACAUGCUGUCCGGUCAUGGUUCGUGUUAACGUCAGAGCUCAGUACUAUGGACCCUGGUUUUCUCGGGGGUAGCAAAGGAUGACUGAAACAGCACCAGAAGCUUACUCUUUCAUCUUCAGCCCUCUAUACGCUUCAAACACACCACGCACCAUCCCACAGGCUCAGGACUUCCGUGGAUCACCUGCCAUCUCAGCAAGAGAGCUCAGAAUCCCAGGUCAACAGAAGGCGAGAACAGCUGGACCAGGCAUGAUCAAAGGGCCACUGAGCCAGCCUCCAGCAGCGGACGGCUUGCCUGGGGUGUGUACAACGGAGCAGCACAGGCACUAUGAGAGUCUCCUCAUCCUCAUUUGCAGUCAUUUCCAUUCACUUUUUCUGCAUCAUUUUUAGUUAUAUUCCGUAAUGUUUCCUCCUCAAUCAACUGCUUUCCAAGCUGACAAAAUUUGGCCUAUUUAAUUGCUCACUGAACUAAAUUAUUUUGGCCAUUUUUGUGCUCACUCUUCUCAUCCUUUGCUGAACCUCUCUUCUUCUCUUAUUCACUUUUAAAGAUGUAAGGAAACAAAACUGCUUGUACCAUUAUGAUAUCUUGCAUGUUAAAUUCUUUCUCCAAGAUAAUUUGGCA
ensembl:lncRNA